AGCUCCAAUAGCGUAUACUAAUUUUGUUGCAGUUAAAAAGCUCGUAGUUGGAUUUCUUUCUCUUGUCGCUGGGGACCUUCUUCUAGAAGGUUCUCCUGCAACUGGGGAAAACAUUUGUCGCAAACCGGUCGAAUACUGUAACGGUGUUCGAUCGUUAAGCGACUCGUUUACUUUGAGAAAAUUAGAGUGUUCAAAGCAGGCUUUCCGCCUUGAAUAUGUUAGCAUGGAAUAAUAACAUAGGACUUUAGUUCUAUUUGUUGGUUGUUCGAGAACUGGAGUAAUGAUUGAUAGGGACGGUUGGGGGCAUCUGUAUUCUC
rnacentral:rRNA from 1 species